rnacentral:rRNA from 1 species
GACGAACGCUGGCGGCGUGCCUAAUACAUGCAAGUCGAGCGAAGUUUUUCUGGUGCUUGCACUAGAAAAACUUAGCGGCGCACGGGUGAGUAACACGUAAAGAACCUGCCUCAUAGACUGGGACUACUAUUGGAAACGAUAGCUAAUACCGGAUAACAGUAUUUCUCGCAUGAGCGAUGUUUAAAAGUUGGUUAUGCUAACACUAUGAGAUGGCUUUGCGGUGCAUUGGCUAGUUGGUGGGGUAAAGGCCCACCAAGGCGACGAUGCUUAGCCGACCUGAGAGGGUGAUCGGCCACCCUGGCACUGAGACACGGCCCAGACUCCUACGGGAGGCAGCAGUAGGGAAUCUUCCGCAAUGGGCGAAAGCCUGACGGAGCAACGCCGCGUGAGUGAUGAAGGAUUUCGGUUCGUAAAGCUCUGUUGUUAGGGAAGAAUGGAUAUGUAGUAACUAUACAUGUAAGAGACGGUACCUAACCAGAAAGCCACGGCUAACUACGUG